rnacentral:tRNA from 1 species
AGCGAUAUAAUUCAACGGUAGAACCACUCCAUACAAGGCUGUGGAACGAGAGUUCGACUCUCUCUGUCGCUG